UCAUAGCUGCAGGAUGGAGGUGGGAGGAGUCUGGCGGAGCUCAGGGUGAUGAGACAGGGCAGUGAGGACCGUGCCUGGGAUCAAUAACCUCUCCACAGGCUGCCUUCUCUCCAGCUCCGGGAGCCUGACUGGGGGCUGCAAGGCAGGGAUGAGAGAGUAACUGAGGUGUCUAGGACUGUGUAGGACAGGUCUCCUGGUGCUGGAAGGAACGUGGGCCUAGAUCUAGUCAGGACGAGAAGAGGCUGACUGGGAGCUGAGAUUCUGAGUCUCAGUUCCGUCUAUAUUGGCCACGUGACUUUGUAGUCAUUCGGCUCUUAGCUUUCCUGUCACCGAAACAAGGCAGCAAUAAACACCUUCGAGGCCCAACAUGCCAGGGCGGACGUGAGGACAAAACCGGAUAUUACUCAAAUGUUAUGUUCAUUGCUGAACAGCAAGGUUUUCCCUUUUCUUAAGUGCUGAGGGACAAAAAUAAUUAUGAAGUUACCGGGGUGGUAAUUACUGCUGUGCUGUGUGGAGAAGCCCUCAUUUAUAGCAGGUGCACAUCUCCAAAGCUGCGUCAGCUACCCACAGGGUAUGUGUGUGGGAACAUCACCCUCGAGCUGACAGUGACGAUCCUGUGAGUGAGCAAGCAUUUCCAAGCACCUGGGGCCUCGUCCUGGGCUUCCUCACGCCUGGUCCUUGCUAGCUCUUCCGUGCUCAGGGAAUCUGCCUUGGGGACAUCAGCCGUUGCUGCCUAACUGGUUGUAGUGCAGUUGUUCUAGCUGGAUCGAAGAAGAGGGCAUCAGAUCGCAUUAUAGAUGGUUAUGAGUCACCACAAGCUUGCUGGGAAUUGAACUCUGGACCUCGGGAGCAGCAGCCAGUGCUCAUAAUCUCUGACCAACAAAAGACCAACAAAAACAUACGUAAUUCUUCAAAUUCACCCACUCAUUCUUGUUAAUACUCUGGUUCUCUCGCUGAACCUGGGGCACGUGAGUUUGCUCUUCUGAUUGGCCAGCAGACUCCUGGAAUUCACCUAUCUCUACCUCCUCAGUGCUGGGACUACGGGUGGACCACUGUGUCUUUUUCUUUCCUCUUUCCUGUUUAUACGGACGCCAAGGAUGUGAAUUCAGCUUGCAAAGCAAGCGCUGAGCUUACCUCCAAAUCCUCCCUGUCAUUCCUCACAGCACCUCUAUCCCCCCCAGAAACCUUUCAAAGAGUAACAUUUCAAUUUAGAAUAGCUUUUAAUUAAAAGAAGUUAAUUGCCAACAGCAUCUAGAAUUCCCAUUUACUUUGUUUAUUAAUAACACUUGAAAUUAAUAUGGCAUUUUUUUCUUUUUCUUUUCUUUUUUAUAAUUGAUGUUUACUGAGCUCUACAUUUUUCUCUGCUCCCCUCCCUGCCUCUCCCCUCCCCCUUC